UACGUAGGGUGCGAGCGUUGUCCGGAAUUAUUGGGCGUAAAGGGCGCGUAGGCGGCGCGGUAAGUCACCUGUGAAAUCUCCUGGCUCAACUGGGAGCUUGCAGGCGAAACUGCCGUGCUGGAGUGUGGGAGAGGUGCGUGGAAUUCCUGGUGUAGCGGUGGAAUGCGCAGAUAUCAGGAGGAACACCGAUGGCGAAGGCAGCUCGCUGGGACGGUACUGACGCUGGAGGCGCGAAAAGCGUGGGGAGCAAACAGG
rnacentral:rRNA from 1 species